UACGUAGGGGGCGAGCGUUAUCCGGAAUCAUUGGGCGUAAAGAGUACGUAGGCGGGAGCUUAAGCACAGGGUUUAAGGCAAUGGCUUAACCACUGUAUGCCUUGUGAACUGGGCUUCUUGAGUGCAGGAGGGGAAAGCGGAAUUCCUAGUGUAGCGGUGAAAUGCGUAGAUAUUAGGAGGAACACCAGUGGCGAAGGCGGCUUUCUGGACUGUAACUGACGCUGAGGUACGAAAGCUAGGGGCGCGAACC
rnacentral:rRNA from 1 species